CAUAGGUUAAUGAGGCGAACCGGGGGAACUGAAACAUCUAAGUACCCCGAGGAAAAGAAAUCAACCGAGAUUCCCCCAGUAGCGGCGAGCGAACGGGGAGCAGCCCAGAGCCUGAAUCAGUGUGUGUGUUAGUGGAAGCGUCUGGAAAGGCGCGCGAUACAGGGUGACAGCCCCGUACACAAAAAUGCACAUACUGUGAGCUCGAUGAGUAGGGCGGGACACGUGGUAUCCUGUCUGAAUAUGGGGGGACCAUCCUCCAAGGCUAAAUACUCCUGACUGACCGAUAGUGAACCAGUACCGUGAGGGAAAGGCGAAAAGAACCCCGGCGAGGGGAGUGAAAAAGAACCUGAAACCGUGUACGUACAAGCAGUGGGAGCACGCUUAGGCGUGUGACUGCGUACCUUUUGUAUAAUGGGUCAGCGACUUAUAUUCUGUAGCAAGGUUAACCGAAUAGGGGAGCCGAAGGGAAACCGAGUCUUAACUGGGCGUUAAGUUGCAGGGUAUAGACCCGAAACCCGGUGAUCUAGCCAUGGGCAGGUUGAAGGUUGGGUAACACUAACUGGAGGACCGAACCGACUAAUGUUGAAAAAUUAGCGGAUGACUUGUGGCUGGGGGUGAAAGGCCAAUCAAACCGGGAGAUAGCUGGUUCUCCCCGAAAGCUAUUUAGGUAGCGCCUCGUGAAUUCAUCUCCGGG
rnacentral:rRNA from 1 species